AAGUCGUAACAAGGUUUCCGUAGGUGAACCUGCGGAAGGAUUAUUAACACGUAUCCAAACGUUAAAACCCCCCCCGUUAACCUUCAUCCUGCUCUUGUAGUUGUAGUGAUUCAGAGACCUCUGGCUACGUGCGAACAUUGGAACAGUUACAAUCGAGCGGUAGUUCUAUAGGCAAUGUUUCCCCAAGCAGUCAGUGUCGGAAAGUGUCAUUGAUUGUGCAAGGAUAGCGCUUCUACGAUUCCUGUAGACCGUACACUCGGGCAGGAGCUUUGCCAAAGGGUCCCCAUGCCCCCUAAUAACCCCACAGUUUAAUGUGAAGCUCAAUGUAAUACAUUGGGUAAAAAAACCGAACAACUGUUAACAAUGGAUAUCUUGGUUCUC
rnacentral:misc_RNA from 1 species